rnacentral:pre_miRNA from 1 species
GUCCCCCUGCAAGGGGGUGACCCUGUUGGUCUCGGAUGUCUUUCUAAAUCAAUCAAAUCUAUGAUGAGAUCUUGCUACAUAUCGACCUUCCUUGGGUAUAGUUAGACGUCCGAGAUGUUUCACGGUCUCCCCUGAAAAGGGGGAC